rnacentral:rRNA from 1 species
GACGAACGCUGGCGGCGUGCUUAACACAUGCAAGUCGAGCGGUAAGGCCCUUUCGGGGGUACACGAGCGGCGAAACGGGUGAGUAACACGUGGGUGACCUGCCCUCAGCUCUGGGGAUAAGCCUGGGAAACCGGGUCUAAUACCGGAUAUGACUCCAUGACGCAUGUUGUGGGGUGGAAAGCCUUGUGCGGCUGGAGGAUGGGCCCGCGGCCUAUCAGCUUGUUGGUGGGGUGAUGGCCUACCAAGGCGACGACGGGUAGCCGGCCUGAGAGGCGACCGGCACACUGGGACUGAGACACGGCCCAGACUCCUA